rnacentral:rRNA from 1 species
GGACUACCGGGGUAUCUAAUCCGUUUUGCUCCCCACGCUUUCAUGCUUCAAUGUCAGUAGCAGAAUAGUUAACUGCCUUCGCUAUAUUGAUGUUCUUUCAUAUAUCUACGCAUUUUACCGCUCCACAUGAAGUUCCGUUAACCUCUCCUGCACUCAAGUUCAACAGUAUUACUAACUUCCACGAGGUUGGGCCUCGAUUUCCCACUAGUAACUUACUGAACCAUCUACGCAUCCUUUACGCCCAAUAAUUCCGGAUAACGUUUGCGACCUAUGUCUUACCGCGGCUGCUGGCAC